CUCUUACGUAAAAACAAUCGCAGCUGUUUUUGUUAUGAGUGGCGGUGCUCGUACGUGUCAUGAAACUUAAUCAGCUCUAUAAUGCACGUCAACACAGCAGGCCAUCUAUUCAUGAGAGUGAGGGUUCAAGAAUCAAUCAUAAUCAUGUGAAAAAUGACUGUUAGAGCACGCAACAGCCAGCAGGAAAGCUCAAUUAAUGAAGGAGCGAAAUUUUCUUAAACUUCCAAUAAUCCCUGCUCUGACCUAGAGGUUUUGGACGCCAAAAUUGACCGUCUGUUAGGAAAGAGAGAUGGAGAGAUGUUUGAAUGUGGAAAGGGCAAAACAGAUCAGCCUGCCUGGGUAUGAAGAAUUACAUAAUUCCUUGAACGCGGAAAAAUGAUAAAUUCAUGUGAUUACUAAUAAGGGAAUUCAAAAAAAAAGUAAAGCUUUGAAUGUAGUUUUAGUGAACGCUAAUACCUGUCACAUUUAAAAGACCGUCACAUUUAAAAGACCGUCACAUUUUAUAGACUAUAUAUGGGCAUAAACUUCAUUUUUACGACGUAAUGUAUGACAAGUCGUGUUUGCUAAAUUUGUCUAAUUUUAAUGAAUAACAUGUACUAAGGAAACUUAUAGUUUUGACAAUGGUUUGCCCUGUCAGAAUUGAAUACGCGUGUAUGCUAAUAAUAACGACGAACAUGUUUGAGAGAAACUUUUAAGUGAAUAGCUCGAGGAAGUAGAACGCCUCGAGAAAAACAUCAAUGAAUUAAGAUUCUUAUAUGGGAAA